rnacentral:rRNA from 1 species
GUUGCUGCAUGGUUGUCGUCAGCUCGUGCCGUGAGGUGUCGGGUUAAGUCCCAUAACGAGCGCAACCUCUAUUCUUAGUUACCAUCAGGUAAUGCUGGGGACUCUAAGGAAACUGCCUACGCAAGUAGUGAGGAGGGUGGGGAUGACGUCAAAUCAGCACGGCCCUUAUGUCCAGGGCUACACACGUGCUACAAUGGCCGGUACAAAGAGCAGCUAACUAGUGAUAGUAUGCUAAUCUCUAAAGCCGGUCUCAGUUCGGAUUGAAAUCUGCAAUUCGAUUUCAUGAAGCUGGAAUCGCUAGUAAUCGCGCAUCAGCAAUGGCGCGGUGAAUACGUUCCCGGGCCUUGUACACACCGCCCGUCAAGCCAUGGAAGCUGGUGGUACCUGAAGUUUGUAACCGCAAGGAGCGAACUAGGGUAAAAUCAGUAACUGGGGCUAAGUCGUAACAAGGUAACC